rnacentral:rRNA from 1 species
GACGAACGCUGGCGGCGUGCUUAACACAUGCAAGUCGAGCGGUAAGGCCCUUUCGGGGGUACACGAGCGGCGAACGGGUGAGUAACACGUGGGUGACCUGCCCUCAGCUCUGGGAUAAGCCUGGGAAACCGGGUCUAAUACUGGAUAUGACUCCAUGACGCAUGUUGUGGGGUGGAAAGCCUUGUGCGGCUGAGGAUGGGCCCGNGGCCCUAUCAGCUUGUUGGUGGGGUGANGGCCUACCAAGGCGACGACGGGUAGCCGGCCUGAGAGGGCGACCGGCCACACUGGGACUGAGACACGGCCCAGACUCCUACGGGAGCAGCAGUGGGGAAUCUUGCGCAAUGGGCGAAAGCCUGACGCAGCGACGCCGCGUGAGGGAUGACGG